rnacentral:rRNA from 1 species
UGGGGAAUAUUGGACAAUGGGCGAAAGCCUGAUCCAGCCAUGCCGCGUGUGUGAAGAAGGUCUUCGGAUUGUAAAGCACUUUAAGUUGGGAGGAAGGGCAGUAAGCGACUACCUUGCUGUUUUGACGUUACCGACAGAAUAAGCACCGGCUAACUCUGUGCCAGCAGCCGCGGUAAUACAGAGGGUGCAAGCGUUAAUCGGAAUUACUGGGCGUAAAGCGCGCGUAGGUGGUUCGUUAAGUUGAAUGUGAAAGCACCGGGCUCAACCUGGGAACGGCAUCCAAAACUGGCGAGCUAGAGUAGGGCAGAGGGGGGUGGAAUUUCCUGUGUAGCGGUGAAAUGCGUAGAUAUAGGAAGGAACACCAGUGGCGAAGGCGACCACCUGGGCUCAUACUGACACUGAGGUGCGAAAGCGUGGGGAGCAAACAGG